UACGUAGGGCGCAAGCGUUGUCCGGAAUUAUUGGGCGUAAAGAGCUCGUAGGCGGCCUGUUGCGUCCGCUGUGAAAUCCCGGGGCUCAACCCCGGGGCCUGCAGUGGAUACGGGCUGGCUGGAGGCAGGCAGGGGAGAACGGAAUUCCUGGUGUAGCGGUGAAAUGCGCAGAUAUCAGGAGGAACACCGGUGGCGAAGGCGGUUCUCUGGGCCUGUUCUGACGCUGAGGAGCGAAAGCGUGGGGAGCGAACAGG
rnacentral:rRNA from 1 species